AGGAAGUAAAAGUCGUAACAAGGUUUCCGUAGGUGAACCUGCGGAAGGAUCAUUACUGAACGACUCGAACGAACAAGUCCCGAGUUUGGACGGAAAAGUGGCAAAGCGGCAAAGCGACCGCGGAUCGGGCACCGGCCGCCCACCGGUUUUCAAAGACUCGCGCCCGAUCCGGACGGCUGAGAAAUACCCUGCCGGUAUCGCACCGCGGGGAAACGGCUUUUUCCUAAACGAAAAAAAAAAAUGAAAUGGAAAUCCUAAACGGUGGAUCACUCGGCUCGUGGAUCGAUGAAGGACGCAGCAAACUGCGCGUCGAAUUGUGAACUGCAGGACACAUGAACAUCGACGCUUCGAACGCACAUUGCAGCCCACGGAUUCUGUUCCCGGGCUACGCCUGGCUGAGGGCCGGCUACCGAGUUCACCGGCGCACCGUCGCCGGCGAUUUGGGCCGGGGGCGCUCCGCACGUCGGAGGGACCCGGGCCCGUCUCGAUCCGAAGGGCGCACGCGGUCGGACUCCUCGUCCACCGCCGCCGAGACGCUUCGUUUUCUGCGGAGACGGCGUCCGAGGGCGGUGGGGUGACGGCGGUCCGACCGGGACGCGUGCGUGCCCGUCAAAAGAGACCGAAAUGAAAACGCCGACCUCAGAGCAGGUGAGACCACCCGCUGAAUUUAAGCAUAUUAAUAAGCGGAGGAAAAGAAACUAACCAG
rnacentral:rRNA from 1 species